rnacentral:rRNA from 1 species
GCUGUCGUCAGCUCGUGUUGUGAAAUGUUGGGUUAAGUCCCGCAACGAGCGCAACCCUUAUCCUUUGUUGCCAGCGGUCCGGCCGGGAACUCAAAGGAGACUGCCAGUGAUAAACUGGAGGAAGGUGGGGAUGACGUCAAGUCAUCAUGGCCCUUACGACCAGGGCUACACACGUGCUACAAUGGCGCAUACAAAGAGAAGCGACCUCGCGAGAGCAAGCGGACCUCAUAAAGUGCGUCGUAGUCCGGAUUGGAGUCUGCAACUCGACUCCAUGAAGUCGGAAUCGCUAGUAAUCGUGGAUCAGAAUGCCACGGUGAAUACGUUCCCGGGCCUUGUACACACCGCCCGUCACACCAUGGGAGUGGGUUGCAAAAGAAGUAGGUAGCUUAACCUUCGGGAGGGCGCUUACCACUUUGUGAUUCAUGACUGGGGUGAAGUCGUAACAAGGUAACCGUA